UACAGAGGGUGCAAGCGUUGUUCGGAAUUAUUGGGCGUAAAGAGCGUGUAGGCGGCUAGAUAGGUCCGUUGUGAAAACUCGAGGCUCAACCUCGAGACGUCGAUGGAAACCAUCUGGCUAGAGUCCGGAAGAGGAGAGUGGAAUUCCUGGUGUAGCGGUGAAAUGCGCAGAUAUCAGGAGGAACACCGAUGGCGAAGGCAGCUCGCUGGGACGGUACUGACGCUGAGGCGCGAAAGCGUGGGGAGCGAACAGG
rnacentral:rRNA from 1 species